GGGACACGUGGUAUCCUGUCUGAAUAUGGGGGGACCAUCCUCCAAGGCUAAAUACUCCUGACUGACCGAUAGUGAACCAGUACCGUGAGGGAAAGGCGAAAAGAACCCCGGCGAGGGGAGUGAAAAAGAACCUGAAACCGUGUACGUACAAGCAGUGGGAGCACCUUCGGGUGUGACUGCGUACCUUUUGUAUAAUGGGUCAGCGACUUAUAUUCUGUAGCAAGGUUAACCGUAUAGGGGAGCCGCAGGGAAACCGAGUCUUAACUGGGCGUUAAGUUGCAGGGUAUAGACCCGAAACCCGGUGAUCUAGCCAUGGGCAGGUUGAAGGUUGGGUAACACUAACUGGAGGACCGAACCGACUAAUGUUGAAAAAUUAGCGGAUGACUUGUGGCUGGGGGUGAAAGGCCAAUCAAACCGGGAGAUAGCUGGUUCUCCCCGAAAGCUAUUUAGGUAGCGCCUCGUGAACUCAUCUUCGGGGGUAGAGCACUGUUUCGGCUAGGGGGUCAUCCCGACUUACCAACCCGAUGCAAACUACGAAUACCGAAGAAUGUUAUCACGGGAGACACACGGCGGGUGCUAACGUCCGUCGUGAAGAGGGAAACAACCCAGACCGCCAGCUAAGGUCCCAAAGUCAUGGUUAAGUGGGAAACGAUGUGGGAAGGCACAGACAGCCAGGAUGUUGGCUUAGAAGCAGCCAUCAUUUAAAGAAAGCGUAAUAGCUCACUGGUCGAGUCGGCCUGCGCGGAAGAUGUAACGGGGCUAAACCAUGCACCGAAGCUGCGGCAGCGACACUAUGUGUUGUUGGGUAGGGGAGCGUUCUGUAAGCCUGCGAAGGUGUGCUGUGAGGCAUGCUGGAGGUAUCAGAAGUGCGAAUGCUGACAUAAGUAACGAUAAAGCGGGUGAAAAGCCCGCUCGCCGGAAGACCAAGGGUUCCUGUCCAACGUUAAUCGGGGCAGGGUGAGUCGACCCCUAAGGCGAGGCCGAAAGGCGUAGUCGAUGGGAAACAGGUUAAUAUUCCUGUACUUGGUGUUACUGCGAAGGGGGGACGGAGAAGGCUAUGUUAGCCGGGCGACGGUUGUCCCGGUUUAAGCAUGUAGGCUGGUUGUCCAGGCAAAUCCGGAUAAUCAAGGCUGAGGUGUGAUGACGAGGCACUACGGUGCUGAAGUAACAAAUGCCCUGCUUCCAGGAAAAGCCUCUAAGCAUCAGGUAACAUCAAAUCGUACCCCAAACCGACACAGGUGGUCAGGUAGAGAAUACCAAGGCGCUUGAGAGAACUCGGGUGAAGGAACUAGGCAAAAUGGUGCCGUAACUUCGGGAGAAGGCACGCUGGUGUGUAGGUGAAGUCCCUGCGGAUGGAGCUGAGACCAGUCGAAGAUACCAGCUGGCUGCAACUGUUUAUUAAAAACACAGCACUGUGCAAACACGAAAGUGGACGUAUACGGUGUGACGCCUGCCCGGUGCCGGAAGGUUAAUUGAUGGGGUUAUCCGUAAGGAGAAGCUCUUGAUCGAAGCCCCGGUAAACGGCGGCCGUAACUAUAACGGUCCUAAGGUAGCGAAAUUCCUUGUCGGGUAAGUUCCGACCUGCACGAAUGGCGUAAUGAUGGCCAGGCUGUCUCCACCCGAGACUCAGUGAAAUUGAACUCGCUGUGAAGAUGCAGUGUACCCGCGGCAAGACGGAAAGACCCCGUGAACCUUUACUAUAGCUUGACACUGAACAUUGAGCCUUGAUGUGUAGGAUAGGUGGGAGGCUUUGAAGCGUGGACGCCAGUCUGCGUGGAGCCAACCUUGAAAUACCACCCUUUAAUGUUU
rnacentral:rRNA from 1 species